rnacentral:rRNA from 1 species
AGAGUUUGAUCAUGGCUCAGGAUGAACGCUAGCGGCAGGCCUAAUACAUGCAAGUCGAACGCUCAGUAGCAAUACUGGGAGUGGCGCACGGGUGCGUAACGCGUACACAAUCUCCCUCUAAGCGGGGGACACCUCCUGGAAACGGGGAUUAAUACCGCAUAAUAUGCCGAGGUCGCAUGACUUUGGUAUUAAAGCAGCAAUGCACUUAGAGAUGAGUGUGCGUCCCAUUAGGUAGUUGGUGAGGUAACGGCUCACCAAGCCUAUGAUGGGUAGCCGGUCUGAGAGGAUGGUCGGCCACACGGGCACUGAGACACGGGCCCGACUCCUACGGGAGGCAGCAGUAAGGAAUAUUGGUCAAUGGUGGAAACACUGAACCAGCCAUGCCGCGUGGAGGAAUAAGGUCCUACGGAUUGUAAACUCCUUUGACGAGGAAGAAAGUGUUAGAUUUAUCUAAUUUUGACGGUACUCGUAGAAUAAGCACCGGCUAACUCCGUG